GACGAACGCUGGCGGCGCGCCUAACACAUGCAAGUCGAACGGAGCUUAGAGAGCUUGCUUUUUAAGCUUAGUGGCGAACGGGUGAGUAACGCGUGAGUAACCUGCCCUAGAGUGGGGGACAACAGUUGGAAACGACUGCUAAUACCGCAUAAGCCCACGGUGCCGCAUGACACUGAGGGAAAAGGAUUUAUUCGCUUUAGGAUGGACUCGCGUCCAAUUAGCUAGUUGGUGAGGUAACGGCCCACCAAGGCGACGAUUGGUAGCCGGACUGAGAGGUUGAACGGCCACAUUGGGACUGAGACACGGCCCAGACUCCUACGGGAGGCAGCAGUGGGGGAUAUUGCACAAUGGGGGAAACCCUGAUGCAGCGACGCCGCGUGGAGGAAGAAGGUUUUCGGAUUGUAAACUCCUGUCGUUAGGGACGAUAAUGACGG
rnacentral:rRNA from 1 species